AACGAACGCUGGCGGCGUGCUUAACACAUGCAAGUCGAACGGCAAGGCCCUGCGUUUUUGGGGUGCCCGGGUGGCGAACGGGUGAGUAACACGUGUGUAACCUGCCCUUGACUUUGGGAUAACUUCAGGAAACUGGGGCUAAUACCGGAUAGGAGCUCCUGCUGCAUUGUGGGGGUUGGAUAGUUUCGGCGGGUGGGGAUGGACUCGCGGCUUAUCGGCUUGUUGGUGGGGUAGUGGCUUACCCAGGCUUUGACCGGUACCCGGCCUGGGAGGGUGGACGGCGACAAGGGGACUGAGGUACGGAGCAGUCGGCUACGUGAGACAGUAGGGGGGAGUAUGACACAAUGAGCGGAAGCCUGAUGCAGAGACGCCGGGUGCGGGAUGACGGUCUGCGGGUUGUGAACCGCUGUCGCCUGUGACGAAGCUGGAGUGACGGUAAUGGAUGAAGAAGCACCGGCUAACUACGUG
rnacentral:rRNA from 1 species